rnacentral:piRNA from 1 species
UUGAUCUAUUGUGAACCCUAAAUACCUC